rnacentral:misc_RNA from 1 species
GAAAUGCGAAAGUUAAUGCGAAUUGCAGAAUUCAGUGAAUCAUCGAGUCUUUGAACGCACAUUGCGCCGCCGGUAUUCCGGCGGGCAUGCCUGUCCGAGCGUCUCUUCGAACAAGGUCGAGCCCCGUUUCUCGGGGAGGUCUCCUCCCCGAUAGGCGCCAGGGCGUCGGUGUUGGACGUUCCGACCGUCUUGGUCGGACGUCUUCGAAACGCAUCCCACCGGUGGCCGCAGCCGACCGACCCCGGAGUCGCCGGACGGCGUGACUUCGUCGGAGGUUCGGAGCGGCUCACCGGGUGCAACGGAUCGGGUGCCCCAGGGCCUGAUUCAUCACCGUUCGACCUCGGAUCAGGUAGGGUUACCCGCUGAACUUAAGC